rnacentral:rRNA from 1 species
GAUGAACGCUGGCGGCGUGCCUAAUACAUGCAAGUCGAGCGAACGGACGAGAAGCUUGCUUCUCUGAUGUUAGCGGCGGACGGGUGAGUAACACGUGGAUAACCUACCUAUAAGACUGGGAUAACUUCGGAAAACCGGAGCUAAUACCGGAUAAUAUUUUGAACCGCAUGGUUCAAAAGUGAAACACGGUUUUGCCGUCACUUAUAGAUGGAUCCGCGCUGCAUUAGCUAGUUGGUAAGGUAACGGCUUACCAAGGCAACGAUGCAUAGCUGACCUGAGAGGGUGAUCGGCCACACUGGAACUGAGACACGGUCCAGACUCCUACGGGAGGCAGCAGUGGGGAAUCUUCCGCAAUGGGCGAAAGCCUGACGGAGCAACGCCGCGUGAGUGAUGAAGGUCUUCGGAUCGUAAAACUCUUUUAUUAGGGAAGAACAUCUGUGUAAGUAACUGUGCAUAUCUUGACGGUACCUAAUCAGAAAGCCACGGCUAACUACGUG